rnacentral:rRNA from 1 species
UGCAAGUCGAGCGGACCGACGGGAGCUUGCUCCCUUAGGUCAGCGGCGGACGGGUGAGUAACACGUGGGUAACCUGCCUGUAAGACUGGGAUAACUCCGGGAAACCGGGGCUAAUACCGGAUGCUUGAUUGAACCGCAUGGUUCAAUCAUAAAAGGUGGCUUUUAGCUACCACUUACAGAUGGACCCGCGGCGCAUUAGCUAGUUGGUGAGGUAACGGCUCACCAAGGCGACGAUGCGUAGCCGACCUGAGAGGGUGAUCGGCCACACUGGGACUGAGACACGGCCCAGACUCCUACGGGAGGCAGCAGUAGGGAAUCUUCCGCAAUGGACGAAAGUCUGACGGAGCAACGCCGCGUGAGUGAUGAAGGUUUUCGGAUCGUAAAACUCUGUUGUUAGGGAAGAACAAGUACCGUUCGAAUAGGGCGGUACCUUGACGGUACCUAACCAGAAAGCCACGGCUAACUACGUGCCAGCAGCCGCGGUAAUACGUAGGUGGCAAGCGUUGUCCGGAAUUAUUGGGCGUAAAGCGCGCGCAGGCGGUUUCUUAAGUCUGAUGUGAAAGCCCCCGGCUCAACCGGGGAGGGUCAUUGGAAACUGGGGAACUUGAGUGCAGAAGAGGAGAGUGGAAUUCCACGUGUAGCGGUGAAAUGCGUAGAGAUGUGGAGGAACACCAGUGGCGAAGGCGACUCUCUGGUCUGUAACUGACGCUGAGGCGCGAAAGCGUGGGGAGCGAACAGGAUUAGAUACCCUGGUAGUCCACGCCGUAAACGAUGAGUGCUAAGUGUUAGAGGGUUUCCGCCCUUUAGUGCUGCAGCAAACGCAUUAAGCACUCCGCCUGGGGAGUACGGUCGCAAGACUGAAACUCAAAGGAAUUGACGGGGGGCCCGCACAAGCGGUGGGAGCAUGUGGGUUUAAUUCGAAGCAACGCGGAAAAACCUUACCAGGUCUUGACAUCCUCUGACAACCCUAGAGAUAGGGCUUCCCCUUCGGGGGCAGAGUGACAGGUGGUGCAUGGUUGUCGUCAGCUCGUGUCGUGAGAUGUUGGGUUAAGUCCCGCAACGAGCGCAACCCUUGAUCUUAGUUGCCAGCAUUCAGUUGGGCACUCUAAGGUGACUGCCGGUGACAAACCGGAGGAAGGUGGGGAUGACGUCAAAUCAUCAUGCCCCUUAUGACCUGGGCUACACACGUGCUACAAUGGGCAGAACAAAGGGCAGCGAAGCCGCGAGGCUAAGCCAAUCCCACAAAUCUGUUCUCAGUUCGGAUCGCAGUCUGCAACUCGACUGCGUGAAGCUGGAAUCGCUAGUAAUCGCGGAUCAGCAUGCCGCGGUGAAUACGUUCCCGGGCCUUGUACACACCGCCCGUCACACCACGAGAGUUUGUAACACCCGAAGUCGGUGAGGUAACCUUUGGAGCCAGCCGCCG